GGGGCGAUGACGCGACAGGUCGACAGAUGACAGCACAAACUCUGAAGCUGUGGUUUUCUUACCGACGGCGUGUUGUUUGGCUGGAUUUGCGUUGUCCUCUGUGGGAAACAGAAACACAAAAUAUGCUCACAAUGAAGGUGAAAUUGAUGUAAAAUGCCGAUGACGGAGGUCUGUGAGCAGCUGUGGAGCACAGGCUGAAUUUUUCUCACCAGCUGCUACCAUCAAAACCACAAAAGAACAGGACGGUGAUCCACAGCAGGAGGACGUGGACGAGGCAAUGCUGGGUACGCUGUGGCAUCGUUAGACCGACAGUGGCGCACAGAGCUACUUGAAGACAAAUGUUAAGAGCUGACGACUGCCUGCACAGGUCCUGCAGUUUCCUCUGCUGUGCACCAAGACAGUGUGUGUGUUGCUUCCUGAGCUCAGUGUGUGUAUGUGAUGAGGACG